rnacentral:piRNA from 1 species
UGAAGAUGAAGAUCUAACCAUGUGCUU